CCCCAGGUCAGUCGGGAAUACCCGCUGAAUUUAAGCAUAUAAAUAAGCGGAGGAAGAGAAACUUACAAGGAUUCCCCUAGUAACGGCGAGCGAACCGGGAAUAGCCCAGCUUGAGAAUCGGGUGGGUUGAACCCUGUCCGAAUUGUAGUCUGGAGAGGCAUCCUCAGAGACGGACCGGGCCCAAGUUCCCUGGAAAGGGUCGCCUGGGAGGGUGAGAGCCCCGUCUGGCCUGGACCCUGUCUCACCACGAGGUGCUGUCAACGAGUCGGGUUGUUUGGGAAUGCAGCCCAAAUUGGGCGGUAAACUUCGUCCAAGGCUAAAUAUAGGUGAGAGACCGAUAGUGAACAAGUACCGCGAGGGAAAGAUGAAAAGGACUUUGAAAAGAGAGUCAAAGAGUGCUUGAAAUUGCCGGGAGGGAAGCGGAUGGGGACCGGCGAUGUGCCCCGGUCGUAUGCGGAACGGCUUAUGCUGGUCCGCCGCUCGGCUCGUGGUGCGGACUGUUGUCGGUUGGACUAACGGUCAAAGCACAGGGGGACAUAGUNNGUGCCCCUGGCAGCCACCGCUGGUGCAACUGGUUAUUGCGCGCUGCAAGGCGUGUCCUUUUGGACACUGCGCUGCAACAGCCUGCGGGCUCCCCAUCCGACCCGUCUUGAAACACGGACCAAGGAGUCUGACAUGCAUGCGAGUAGACGGGUUCUGAAACCUGGGAUGCACAAGGAAGCUGAUGAGUGGGAGUUCCUAACGGGACGCACCGCUGGCCGACCCUGAUCUUCUGUGAAGGGUUUGAGUUGGAGCAUGCCUGUCGGGACCCGAAAGAUGGUGAAACGUAUGCCUGAGCGGGGUGAAGCCAGAAGAAACUCUGGUGGAGGCUCGAAGCGAUACUGACGUGCAAAUCGUUCGUCUGACUUGGGUAUAGGGGCGAAAGACUAAUCGAACCAUCUAGUAGCUGGUUCCCUCCGAAGUUUCCCUCAGGAUAGC
rnacentral:rRNA from 1 species